GACGAACGCUGGCGGCGUGCUUAAUACAUGCAAGUCGAACGGAAAGGCCCUGCUCUUGCGGGGUGCUCGAUUGGCGAACGGGGGAGUAACACGCGAGUAAACUGCCCCUGUCUUUGGGAUAACUUUAGGAAACUGGGGCUAAUACCGGGUAGGAGCUCCUGCUGCACGGUGGGGGUUGGAAAGUUUCGGCGGUUGUGGCUGGUCUCGCGGGUUAUGAGCUUGUUGGUGGGGUAGGGGAGUACCAAGGCUUUGACGGGUAGCCGGCCUGGGAGGUUGGCCGGGGUCAUGGGGCCUGCGGGACGGCCCAGACGCGUACGGGAGGCAGCAGGGGAGAAUCUUGCACAACGAGCGCGCGUCAGAGGCGGCGACGUCGCGAUCGUGAUGAUGUGUUACUGGUGGUGAACCGCUUUGGACGUUGCUGAGGCGUGAGUGACGGUACCGAGUAAAGAAGCACCGGCUAACUACGUG
rnacentral:rRNA from 1 species